AUGAGCCAAGGUUCUCCCGCCGCGACGGGGUCCGGUUCAGGGACAGCAGAACCGGCCCAUGGGCAGCCCGGGGACUCCUCCUCCAACGCCGCCGCCGCCGCCGCCUCCUCCUCGCUGCCGCCUCUCCCCCCUGCAGCGCCCCUCCAGCGGCCCCGAGAAGAGCGGGACGGCAAGCAGGCAGGAGGCUCGAGCUCCGCCGCGGCGGGGGUCGACCGGAAGGGCAAGAAUCUCCCCUCCGCACCCGCAGUUCCUUCUUCGGAGUCUUCAUCUUCGAGCUCCGGGGGCAGCAGCCCCGAGGACGCCGACGCCGCGGCCUCCGGAGCCCGGCCGUUCGACAGCACUGUGGUGUUCCAGCAGCUGGUACGGGAGCAGACGGCCAUCAAGGAGGCGGGCGGGCCGUUGGCCGAGGGGGCGGGCAAGAAGAAGAAGCCGGAGGAGGCGCAGGUGAAAUCGUCGCACGUCAUAGCGGAGCUCUGGCACAAUCUUAUAAAGUUUUUUCUUGGAGAAGAAUGGCACUAUUCAGAACAUGUGAAUUACCAGACACAUCCCAUCACUGAAGUCAGAAAGUAUUAUCGGGUUCCUGAUUUGGCUACGGGACAAGGAGUGGACCAUCUUGAUGCCUAUUCAGAAUUUAGACGGGUGACUGGAGAUGGGGAGUGUUUCUACAGGAGCUUCAUAUUUUCCUACCUUGAGCAAGUUCUUGAUAGGCAGGACACACAUGAGGAACAGCGUCUGCUUGAUGCUGUUAAAAGAGUGUCUGUGCAACAUGCAGAUCUAGGAUGGACCUCUAAAUUUCCCAGGAGCUACAGAGCAUUUAAGAAGCUGAUUAAGAAAUUAAAGAGAUGGAAGAGGCACGGCAUGUGGAAGUGGAACAGCAUAACAUCAACUAGCAGCUACCGUAAAGAGAAACUUCUCGAGUUCUUCAGAAGUUACGAUACGACGCAAGACAUUCUUACUUUCCUCAGAUUAGUAGUAGCCAUCUGGAUAUGCUCGCACGCAGAGGAGUAUGAACAGCGUGUACCAGACCUCAGUGAACAUUACAGUCUGAAAGAUUGGUGCUUUGAGCACGUCACUCCAUCUCGUGAGUACACGGACCAUGUUAUGAUGACGGCCUUGGCCGAAGCGCUUGAGGUACCCCUUAGAGUGGAGCAACUCAAUGGAGGACCUGCUCACGAUAUCUACACUGCUCCUGGACCUGGAGUUCCCCUUGUGAGUGUGACCCUUCUGUACACGGGCAUUCACUACGACGUCCUCUACCCAAGCGCUGCUCCUGCCGAGAGUUGA
rnacentral:rRNA from 1 species